GACGAACGCUGGCGGCGCGCUUAACACAUGCAAGUCGAGCGAAGCGGCGGACGGGUGAGUAACACGUGAGUAACCUGCCUGAGACAUUGGGAUAGCCUCGGGAAACCGGGAUUAAUACCAAAUGGUCUAAGAUGGACUCGCGUCCCAUUAGCUAGGUGGUGAGGUAACGGGCCACCAAGGCGACGAUGGGUAGCCGGCCUGGGAGGGUGACCGGCAACAUUGGGACUGAGAAACGGUCCAAACUCUACGGGAGGCAGCAGUGGGGAAUAUUGCACGAUGGAGGGAACUCUGAUGCAGCGACGCCGCGUGGACGUAGAAGUCUUUCGAGUCGUAAAGUUCUUUUAUAUGGGAAGCGGUACCAUAAGAAAAAGCCCCGGCUAACUACGUGCCAGCAGCCGCGGUAAUAC
rnacentral:rRNA from 1 species